rnacentral:tRNA from 1 species
GUGGCUUUGGCUGAGUGGUUAAGGUGUGCGUUGCUAAGGUUCCCGUGAGAGUUCGAAUCUCUCAAGCCUAUA